rnacentral:misc_RNA from 1 species
UUAUCAACCAUUAAGCGUGGCUUGUUGUUGGACUAUUUUGUCGUUGUACGACAGGUCUGAAAGAUAAUGAACGGUGUUAUGGCGACCCUAAAUGCAACGAGCUUUUUACAGCACGCAUUCUAGUGGUCGGCAGGCCCGGUCUUAACCCUUAUUUUCUCAAGGUUGACCUCGGAUCAGGUAGGAAUACCCGCUGAACUUAA